rnacentral:sRNA from 1 species
AAAAAAAAUGGAAAAAGAACUUGAUCUAAGCAAGUCUGAAAUCUUAAAUGUAACAAACAAACACCCAAUUGGCAACGGCGCCAAAUUGAUAAUAGGUUUUUAGUCAAUUAUCCUAAAACACCAAUCAUGUCGUUGUAGUAUUUUAGGUUGUCAAUCCAAAUGGGUGUGAUACUAACAAUCAAAAUGUGAUCAGAAGUCACUAAGUCAAGCCAAGCAAUAACAGGUUUCGGUGUGUUCUAGCAGUACUAAGUGAACAUGCAGAAAACAGAAAAUCAAACAGAAACAGUAAAACACUCGACCAACACAGCUCGUUGUAGAGCACUAGGUGUGGUCGAGUGAGUUGGUCGAGUAACAGGCCGUAAACGAAACAGGGAUACUCGACUGCACAGUCUAUUGCCAGACAACUGAGUGGUCGAGUAUCAGGUCGAGUAACAGGAGAGAAAUGCAAAAACUAAGCAACAGGUAACAAGAUGCAGUAAACAACAACAAAGUAAACAAUAAAAUCAAUCAGAUAAAGAAUUCCCGGGAUGGGAUAAUUGAGUAGUUUCAUUUCCUUAGGUUACAGGUGAUUGACAUGCUCAAAAAAU